GACAGAGGGUGCAAACGUUGCUCGGAAUUACUGGGCGUAAAGCGCACGUAGGCGGCUUUGCAAGUCAGAGGUGAAAGCCCGGGGCUCAACCCCGGAAUUGCCUUUGAGACUGCAUCGCUAGAAUUGUGGAGAGGUGAGUGGAAUUCCGAGUGUAGAGGUGAAAUUCGUAGAUAUUCGGAGGAACACCAGUGGCGAAGGCGGCUCACUGGCUCGGUACUGACGCUGAGGUGCGAAAGCGUGGGGAGCAAACAGG
rnacentral:rRNA from 1 species